AUGAAAAAAAAAUGAGUGCACUUAAUUGUGGCUCAGACCCAUUUUUUCUUAACACCCAAAAAAUGGCUCUUUAACAUGUUCUGAAGAGAAAAAAGGUUUUUUUUUUUUGAAGAGCAUAGUUAAUUGGCAAAAGCAAAUAUGAAUUUAUUUGCAUUAUUUAUAUUACAAUCAAGUUUGAAGAAUGUAUAACCCCCCAAUAAUAUAUAUAUA
rnacentral:misc_RNA from 1 species